rnacentral:rRNA from 1 species
GACGAACGCUGGCGGCGUGCUUAACACAUGCAAGUCGAACGGAAAGGCCCUGUUUUUGUGGGGUGCUCUCGAGUGGAAAACGGGAGAAACACACGAGUAAGAUGUGCUUGACUCUGCGAUAUCAUCCUGAAAAUGUGGCUCAUAUACCAUAUAAGAUCCUGCUGUAUGGUGUGGGGUGGAAAGUUUCUCCGGGUGGGAAAGGACCUCGGGCUAUAUCACUUGUGUGGGGGGGAAUGGCCUACACCAAGGCACUUACACGGUAACCCGGCUUAGAAAGGGUACCGGCCAUUGUGGACAUAGACAUACGGCCACAAUCCUAUAGGAGAGGAACCUGUGGGAAAUAUGUGCACUGUGCGCGGAACUCAGAUGCCGCAACCGCGCGUGGGAUAACACCCUCUUCGUUGUAAACUCCUCUUUCUACUGAAACAAACCUUGAGUGACGGUACUGGGAUAAGAAGCACCGGCUAACUACGUGCCAGCAGCCGCGGUGAUACGUAGGGUGCGAGCGUUGUCCGGAUUUAUUGGGCGUAAAGAGCUCGUAGGUGGUUUAUCGCGUCGGAUGUGAAAUCCCGGGGCUUAACUUCGGGCGUGCUUUCGAUACGGGCAUAACUAGAGUGCUGUAGGGGAGACUGGAAUUCCUGGUGUAGCGGUGAAAUGCGCAGAUAUCAGGAGGAACACCGAUGGCGAAGGCAGGUCUCUGGGCAGUUACUGACGCUGAGGAGCGAAAGCAUGGGUAGCGAACAGGAUUAGAUACCCUGGUAGUCCAUGCCGUAAACGGUGGGCGCUAGGUGUGGGGGUUUUAUUUACGAUUCCCGUGCCGUAGCUAACGCAUUAAGCGCCCCGCCUGGGGAGUACGGCCGCAAGGCUAAAACUCAAAGGAAUUGACGGGGGCCCGCACAAGCGGCGGAGCAUGUGGAUUAAUUCUAUGCAACGCGAAGAACCUUACCUGGGCUUGACAUACACCGGAUCGCUGCAGAGAUGUAGUUUCCCUUGUGGCUGGUGUACAGGUGGUGCAUGGUUGUCGUCAGCUCGUGUCGUGAGAUGUUGGGUUAAGUCCCGCAACGAGCGCAACCCUUGUCUUGUGUUGCCAGCACGUUAUGGUGGGGACUCAGGAGAGACCGCCGGGGUUAACUCGGAGGAAGGUGGGGAUGACGUCAAAUCAUCAUGCCCCUUAUGUCCAGGGCUUCACGCAUGCUACAAUGGUCGGUACAGAGAGUGGCGAUACCGUGAGGGGGAGCUAAUCCCGGAAAGCCGGUCUCAGUUCGGAUUGGAGUCUGCAACUCGACUCCAUGAAGUCGGAGUCGCUAGUAAUCGCAGAUCAGCAACGCUGCGGUGAAUACGUUCCCGGGCCU